GGGGAAUUCCCAGGACAGGUUCUUGGAGCCAACACUCAAGCCACCAAACAAGAGAAGAAUUCCCAGCACCUCUAACAAGUACUCAGAUAACGUUGACAACAAUGGCAGCCGAUAACUAUAAUAUGCUUGAGGAAAUCAAAACCACCAGCUGCAAGCUCCAGGCCCUGAGUGAGCUGGGCCAAGGUUAUACCAAGGAUGAGCUUGACCUUCAGAUCUUCCAGCCUCCACCUUUGAAGAAUUAGGAUUGAAGAAUGUGUGCUGCACAGCUGGUUUUAGCUGGUGCUGGGGCUAGAACCCACUGUUGUGUAUGA